rnacentral:tRNA from 1 species
GGGGUAUAGCCAAGUGGUAAGGCAACGGACUUUGACUCCGUUACGCGGUGGUUCGAUCCCACCUG